AUGACCACGGCCACGACACAGAGGAAUGCAUUCAACUCCGAGAUGAGAUCGAGGAGCUCAUCAGACGAGGUUGGCUCGACAGGUUCAUUCGAUGCCGGCCUGAGGGUAGAGAGGAUCGGCCAAGGGCCCUGCCACAACCUGAGCCACCGAGGAGGGAAGAGCAGUCCGAAGAUCGGCCUCCAAUUGGGAUCAUCAACUCCAUCUCUGGAGGACCUUGACGGGGAGCAGACCUUCUACAGCCCUG
rnacentral:lncRNA from 1 species